CAGCUUUCCCGCCUGCUAAAACUACUGUUCUAGUCAUUAUCUGGAUCCUCACAAGCAUCAUCUAUUCCAGCUUCUUGGUGUCUGGCAUAGGUGGCGCCACCAUUACUGGAACUGGAAUAGAUAUCUUAUUCAUAUUGUUGAUCCUGCUAAGCCUAAUAUGGAGUAUGCAAGUGAUGAAAAACACAUUGCAGGUUACAGUUGCACGCAUCAAGUACCUAAACUUUGCAUGUGGGGCAGAUAUGGACACAAGAGUUGCUUUAAUAGACACAAUCAAACACCUGAUGAGUAGCAUAUUCUUAGGCUCCACCCUUGUCCCGAUUCUUACUGUAAUCUGGGGCUCUGCACGUGUAAUAA
rnacentral:misc_RNA from 1 species